rnacentral:tRNA from 1 species
AGGGAUAUAACUCAGUGGUAGAGUGUAACCUUGACGUGGUUAUGGUCAUCGGUUCGAGCCCGAUUAUCCCUA